UACGAAGGGGGCUAGCGUUGUUCGGAACCACUGGGCGUAAAGGGCGCGUAGGCGGCUUUGUAAGUCGGGGGUGAAAGCCUGUGGCUCAACCACAGAAUUGCCUUCGAUACUGCAUGGCUUGAGACCGGAAGAGGUUAGUGGAACUGCGAGUGUAGAGGUGAAAUUCGUAGAUAUUCGCAAGAACACCAGUGGCGAAGGCGGCUGACUGGUCCGGUUCUGACGCUGAGGCGCGAAAGCGUGGGGAGCAAACAGG
rnacentral:rRNA from 1 species